rnacentral:rRNA from 1 species
UGGGGAAUAUUGGACAAUGGGCGAAAGCCUGAUCCAGCCAUGCCGCGUGUGUGAAGAAGGUCUUCGGAUUGUAAAGCACUUUAAGUUGGGAGGAAGGGCAGUAAGUUAAUACCUUGCUGUUUUGACGUUACCAACAGAAUAAGCACCGGCUAACUUCGUGCCAGCAGCCGCGGUAAUACGAAGGGUGCAAGCGUUAAUCGGAAUUACUGGGCGUAAAGCGCGCGUAGGUGGUUUGGUAAGAUGGAUGUGAAAUCCCCGGGCUCAACCUGGGAACUGCAUCCAUAACUGCCUGACUAGAGUACGGUAGAGGGUGGUGGAAUUUCCUGUGUAGCGGUGAAAUGCGUAGAUAUAGGAAGGAACACCAGUGGCGAAGGCGACCACCUGGACUGAUACUGACACUGAGGUGCGAAAGCGUGGGGAGCAA